GCGAAGCUUUCGAGAACGUAAAUACACUAACAAAACCGAAAGUGAUCAGCAAUUGGCACUAGAAAUAGAACGAUAUCAAAAUUAGACUGCAGGAAGUCAAUAAAUCUUGAAGUCUUUAAAGUGACCCAAAGCGGAAAAUUCAAAUAUCAGCACUUACCAUCAAUAUCAAGUAGACCUUCCGGAUAAAACCUUUCCGGAUGCUCUGGUCAUCGAAGGCGAAGCUCUUGUCCGCUUCCGCAUCUGUGUAUGCGCCAGUUUCAUCGCCUGCGUGGUUGGAAGACAAUUCAAGGAAGCAGGAAAAUUAAUGCAAUGACUAACCGUACUGAAAAUGAUUGUCGCUGCUCAUGGUUAAAUUGCUAUGACUAAACUUUAGUCACUUAAGUUACUAUGCUCUCUUUGGCCGACUGCCGGCAGCGUGCUAGUGUUUCAGCUUAAUGGAACCGAAUCGCCCUUUCUAGGUGUUCCCAUAUGGACGUAUGAGUUGAGAUUAGCCGGUUACCGGCUCUUAUCACAGCCCCACACUUCUACUCUAGAUAAGAUUUGUGUAUUGAUGUCGCUGUCUUAUCAGAUGAAAAUGCGCCGAGAGAGAUAUAUUUUUUCGACUCUUACGGAGAGGAAACGAUGCAGUCAAUAAGCUUUCUACAAUAGCCAAAUCGAUUAUCUAAUCUAGAGCACCUUUCCGCAGCCAAUUUGGUUUCGGUUCAGCCCAAUCCGGGCGAUACUUGCCUUGCUGGUAGUGAUACAUUUUAUAGCUACGCCCUGCUGGAAUUCACACGAACUACUGAACAGGUGGCCGGGUCAAACGCAUGAUAUGGGGCCAACCCGAAAUUAAAACACCCGGACUUCUUUCUGUGGUGGUGCAGAUAACAAAGUUAACUUAAGCAAUGAUAAAGCAAAAAUGCAGACGAUAAUGGUCUGGAGUCCAGAAGUAAUCCAACCACCGGCGUCGCUCUGCCGUCGCAGACUAAAGUUGCAUCUGGCGGUGGUGGCUGGCUGGUUGAACUGGAUGAACCACUGACGGAAGCCCCACAAUGCAGGGGUCUGUGGCUUUAAUAAAUAGAUGCGCUUUA